rnacentral:rRNA from 1 species
GACGAACGCUGGCGGCGUGCUUAACACAUGCAAGUCGAACGGAAAGGCCCUGCUUUUGUGGGGUGCUCGAGUGGCGAACGGGUGAGUAACACGUGAGUAACCUGCCCUUGACUUUGGGAUAACUUCAGGAAACUGGGGCUAAUACCGGAUAGGAGCUCCUGCUGCAUGGUGGGGGUUGGAAAGUUUCGGCGGUUGGGGAUGGACUCGCGGCUUAUCAGCUUGUUGGUGGGGUAGUGGCUUAACAAGGCUUUGACGGGUAGCCGGCCUGAGAGGGUGACCGGCGACAUUGGGACUGAGAUACGGCGCAGACUCCUACGGGAGGCAGCAGUGGGGAAUAUUGCACAAUGGGCGGAAGCGUGAUGCAGCAACGCCGCGUGCGGGAUGACGGCCUUCGAGUUGUAAACCGCUUUCGCCUGUGACGAAGCGUGCGUGACGGUAAUGGGUAAAGAAGCACCGGCUAACUACGUG